UACGUAGGGUGCGAGCGUUAAUCGGAAUUACUGGGCGUAAAGCGUGCGCAGGCGGCGCGUUAAGACAGGUGUGAAAGCCCCGAGCUUAACUUGGGAAUUGCGCUUGUGACUGGCGUGCUGGAGUGUGGCAGAGGGAGGUGGAAUUCCACGUGUAGCAGUGAAAUGCGUAGAGAUGUGGGAGGAACACCGAUGGCGAAGGCAGCACUCUGGGACGUGACUGACGCUGAGACGCGAAAGCGUGGGGAGCAAACAGG
rnacentral:rRNA from 1 species